GUAAAUAAAAGGAUUGGUACACUUCCUCUUCUAUGUCCAUCUCUUCAGGAAAGCUUACAACAGAAAUUUUUGUGCUGGGAAGAAAAGGAGAAAGAAAAUAAUGAAUUGGGGGAAGAAAUCUGCUAUUACCAUCAUACCAGACAGUCUACAAAGGCAGCUUUUUGCAGUGAUUCAAGCAAGGGAACAAGGAUUCCUGUAUCCUGUUUCCAGUUCUGUCCAGAG